GUUAAAAGUCAUGUGCGUCGUAGUUGAGUAUAAAAUCUGAAAACAGCUGAUAAUUGCAUACAGUAAUAGUUACAAUUGUUAAUUUUCUAGCAAAGAAUAAAAGGCCAAAUGCAGGUUUCUCGUUGCGUCGUGUUAUCCCUGUUGUUGGUGUUCGUUGGAGUAAACACGGCCAACGUUGAAGCGUAUGAAGACAAUGGAUUUAUUCAAAAGCUAGGAAAAAGAAGUACAGCAGCAUGUGGGAUGAUGUCUUGUUCAAAUGAUUUUCACUGCUGUCAUGGUUUUACUUGCUCCUAUAGAAAAUGCAUGUAUACACAAGAAAGAGACAAGACCCUGAC